CUAGCUUAUUAGGAGCUUAUUUCCACAGCAUGGCUCAAAAGAACCGGCCCUAAUCCCCUCCUCUGCUUGCAGCCGCGCCGGAGAAGAGAGCGAGAGUGCCGCCGCGAUGAGUCACCGCAGGCGACCUCACGCCGCCGGCCCGCCGCCCCCCUCCGAAGGAGGAGGAGAUGCCCCGCCUCAGCCGCCGGGGAAGGCGCCGCAGAUCCGGCCGUGGCCGGAGCGGCGGGUGCUGGCGCUCGCGCUGGCGUUCCGCGCGGCGAACGCGCUGCUGGUGCGCACCUACUUCAACCCCGACGAGCACUGGCAGUGCCUCGAGGUCGCCCACCGCAUUGCCUUCGGGUACGGCCACCUCACCUGGGAGUGGAAGCGGGGCCUUCGAAGUUACCUCCACCCGCUGAUCUUCGCCUCCCUUUACAAGUUUCUGGCGUUCCUCCACCUCGAUACCCCGUUGUUCAUGGUGAUGGCCCCACGGCUUCUACAGUCAGUAUUUGCAGCAUUUGGAGAUCUGUACUUGUAUAAACUCUCCAAACUUAUUUUCAGCGAGCACGUUGCCCAGUGGACAUUAUUUUCGCAAUUGGUGAACUGGUUCAUGUUUUUCUGUAUUACACGGACUCUAUCAAACAGCUUGGAGACAGUUUUGACUGUGGCUGGACUCUAUUAUUGGUUUAUUGCAAUUGAGUCUUCCAAGGAAAUUCCUGUUAUUUCAAAGCAGCAGGCCGCCAGCUACCAAAGUCCUCAUUCAAGAAAAGUGGCGCUACUCAUAGCAGCCUUAGCCUGCGCCAUUCGGCCAACAAGUGCCAUAACAUGGUUGUAUGUUGGUCUUUUGGACUUCAUUUAUAUAAAAUCGAAAUGUCGAUUUCUGUUUCUUGAGGUCAUUCCUCUAGGGGCCAUCGUCCUUGCAGCAACAACAUUCCUUGAUUGGUGGAUGUAUGGUUCCCGGGUCAUCGUGCCACUUAAUUUUUUGAAAUUCAACCUAUUUUCUUCAGGAGGAGAUUACUAUGGAACACACGUCUUCCACUGGUACUUCACCCAAGGUCUAAUUGCCUGGGUAUUAGGGGUUUAUAGCAUACUUGGACACAAAGAGUUCAGGUUUGUUCUUCCGGUGCUACCUUUAGCGUUGAUGUUCUCAGGUUACUUCUUAGCUGCAAUGUCACAAUUCAAGGGUAAAAAUCUGCAUGGAAAAAGACACUUUUCAAGGUUGCAACUUUCUGUUAUUCUUCUCAUCAUAACCAAUAUUCCGAUGGCCUUAUAUAUGUCCCUGUUCCAUCAAAGAGGAACCGAAGAUGUUAUGUUUUAUCUGUCAAAAGAAGCCCAUAAUGGAAGUGUUAAGGGUGUCCUCUUUCUCAUGCCUUGCCACUCAACGCCUUAUUACUCUACCUUACAUAGCAGCCUACCUAUGCGCUUUUUGGACUGUACUCCCAGUGAUAAUAAAGGGACCCUGGAUGAGUCAGACCGUUUCCUCAUGAACCCACUUGAUUUUGUGGGUGAGGUUUUUGGAAAUCUAUCUUCCUUCAGCCACAUUGUAUUAUUUGAAUCUGAAGAAAGACAUGUUAUUCAGUUGCUUCUGCAUGAUUCCUUUCAAGAGGUUAGGAGGUUUUUCCACUCCCACUUCAAGAUUGACAGAGACCUUCAGUCGUCUGUUGUUGUAUAUUCACGGAGAGAUGUGCUAUGAUUGCUUUGGCCAAGAAAAGCUUGUUACCCCAUCUAACAACCUCUGAUUGUGUUUCACAGUGUUUUACUCCCUCCGUUCCAAAAUAGAUGACCCAACUUUGUACUAAAGUUAGUACAAAGUUGGGACAUCUAUUUUGGAACGGAGGGAGUAGUUUGUUAUUUCUGAAAUUAGCUGUAACACUAUUGGAUACUAGACCUUAGCAAUUUGUUAUGGUUUUGUACCCCUCGACAUGUUGUGCCGAUCCUUUUAUAUGGAUCAGAUUUUGUAUAACAACAUGGAACAUGCAUAAGAAAGUUUCAUAUCCAUGACACAGUUCUAAGAUGAAAGUUAGAAAUGGCAGUAUUUCCUUGCAGCAAUAACUGAUAACAAGAGCAAGGUGUUAUUAAAUUAACAACAUAG
rnacentral:rRNA from 1 species